UGGGGAAUUUUGGACAAUGGGCGAAAGCCUGAUCCAGCAAUGCCGCGUGCAGGAAGAAGGCCUUCGGGUUGUAAACUGCUUUUGUACGGAACGAAACGGCUCUUUCUAAUAAAGAGGGCUAAUGACGGUACCGUAAGAAUAAGCACCGGCUAACUACGUGCCAGCAGCCGCGGUAAUACGUAGGGUGCGAGCGUUAAUCGGAAUUACUGGGCGUAAAGCGUGCGCAGGCGGUUAUAUAAGACAGUUGUGAAAUCCCCGGGCUCAACCUGGGAAUUGCAUCUGUGACUGUAUAGCUAGAGUACGGUAGAGGGGGAUGGAAUUCCGCGUGUAGCAGUGAAAUGCGUAGAUAUGCGGAGGAACACCGAUGGCGAAGGCAAUCCCCUGGACCUGUACUGACGCUCAUGCACGAAAGCGUGGGGAGCAAACA
rnacentral:rRNA from 1 species